UGAAGUCCCACAGGAGCGACCUGAGACCACAUGGAUCAGGCAUCUGCACCUUCCGAAACCAGAUUACCACUUUGUGGGCGAUUUAGCUUAGGGUUCUGGCAAAGUUGCAAUCCUUUGGUGCUCAUGUGUUCUCAGGUCGCCCCUGCUGGUCUUUC
rfam:Beta vulgaris subsp. vulgaris Bvchr4.sca001.con0119.1, whole genome shotgun sequence.